AUUGAACGCUGGCGGCAGGCCUAACACAUGCAAGUCGAGCGGAUGAAGGGAGCUUGCUCCUGGAUUCAGCGGCGGACGGGUGAGUAAUGCCUAGGAAUCUGCCUGGUAGUGGGGGAUAACGUCCGGAAACGGGCGCUAAUACCGCAUACGUCCUGAGGGAGAAAGUGGGGGAUCUUCGGACCUCACGCAAUCAGCUGAGCCUAGGUCGGAUUAGCUAGUUGGUGGGGUAAAGGCCUACCAAGGCGACGAUCCGUAACUGGUCUGAGAGGAUGAUCAGUCACACUGGAACUGAGACACGGUCCAGACUCCUACGGGAGGCAGCGGUGGGGAAUAUUGGAAAAUGGGCGAAAGCCUGAUCCAGCCAUGCCGGGUGUUUGAAGAAGGUCUUCGGAUGUUAAAGCAUUUUGAGUUGGGAGGAAGGGCAGUAAGUUAAUACCUUGCUGUUUUGACGUUACCAACAGAAUAAGCACCGGCUAACUUCGUG
rnacentral:rRNA from 1 species